rnacentral:rRNA from 1 species
GACAGAGGAUGCAAACGUUGCUCGGAAUUACUGGGCGUAAAGCGCGUGUAGGCGGUUUCGCGAGUCGGGUGUGAAAGCCCGGGGCUCAACCCCGGAAGUGCACUCGAUACUACGGAGCUGGAGUACUGAAGAGGAGAGCGGAAUUCCCGGUGUAGAGGUGAAAUUCGUAGAUAUCGGGAGGAACACCAGUGGCGAAGGCGGCCGGCUGGGGGCGCCCUGAUGCUGAGGCGCGAGAGCGUGGGGAGCAAACCGG